rnacentral:rRNA from 1 species
AUUGAACGCUGGCGGCAUGCCUUACACAUGCAAGUCGAACGGCAGCGGGGACUUCGGUCCGCCGGCGAGUGGCGAACGGGUGAGUAAUGUAUCGGAACGUACCUUUCAGUGGGGGAUAACGUAGCGAAAGUUACGCUAAUACCGCAUAUUCUCUGAGGAGGAAAGCAGGGGACCUUCGGGCCUUGCGCUGAUGGAGCGGCCGAUAUCAGAUUAGCUAGUUGGUGGGGUAAAGGCUCACCAAGGCUACGAUCUGUAGCGGGUCUGAGAGGAUGAUCCGACACACUGGGACUGAGACACGGCCCAGACUCCUACGGGAGGCAGCAGUGGGGAAUUUUGGACAAUGGGCGAAAGCCUGAUCCAGCCAUGCCGCGUGAGUGAAGAAGGCCUUCGGGUUGUAAAGCUCUUUCGGACGGGAAGAAAUCAUGAGGGCUAAUAUCCCUUGUGGAUGACGGUACCGUAAUAAGAAGCACCGGCAAACUACGUGCCAGCCGCCGCCGUAA